rnacentral:rRNA from 1 species
AGCGAACGCUGGCGGCAGGCCUAACACAUGCAAGUCGAACGGACCCUUCGGGGUUAGUGGCGGACGGGUGAGUAACACGUGGGAACGUGCCUUUAGGUUCGGAAUAGCUCCUGGAAACGGGUGGAAUGCCGAAUGUGCCCUUCGGGGGAAAGAUUUAUCGCCUUUAGAGCGGCCCGCGUCUGAUUAGCUAGUUGGUGAGGUAAUGGCUCACCAAGGCGACGAUCAGUAGCUGGUCUGAGAGGAUGACCAGCCACAUUGGGACUGAGACACGACCCAAACUCCUACGGGGGGCAGCAGUGGGGAAUCUUGCGCAAUGGGCGAAAGCCUGACGCAGCCAUGCCGCGUGGAUGAUGAAGGUCUUAGGAUUGUAAAAUCCUUUCACCGGUGAAGAUAAUGACUGUAGCCGGAGAAGAAGCCCCGGCUAACUUCGUGCCAGCAGCCGCGGUAACAC